AUUGAAUCCUCAACCUUGGUGUAAUAGGACAAUGCUCUAACCCCGUGGUUGGCAAACUGCGGCUCGCGAGCCACAUGCGGCUCUUUGGCCCCUUGAGUGAGGCUCUUCCAAGCCCUAGGAGUCCCCUAAUUACGUUAAUAACAAUGUACCUACCUAUAUAGUUUAAGUUUAAAAAAUUUGGCUCUCCAAAGAAAUUUCAAUCGUUGUACUGUUGAUAUUUGGCUCUGUUGACUAAUGAGUUUGCCGACCACUGCUCUAACCAACAAAGCUAUCUGGCCAGGGUGGUGUUUUAUAAUUUUAAUGCUGUUGUAAAUGGGAUAGUUUUCUUAAUAUCUUCUUCUGAUCAUUAUUUUAGUAUAUAGAAUUCUGACCAGAUUUCUGCAUAUUUAUUCUGUGCCCUACAACUUUACUGAAGUCAUUUAUUAGUUCUAACUGGGGCCCAGUGCACGAAUUCGUGCACCUUGAAAGGAACUGUGGGCUGCGAGGCUGCGGUGGGCACAGGGGUGGGUCUCAGUCCAUCCUCCGAGCCCCCGGUGCCCACGACCCCCCAGUGCCCCACGACCUCCCGGUGCCCCACCAGCCCCCGGCCACCCGCCACCCUGCCCGCUCCUCUCGUGGCGCCGGCUGUGGGCCGCUGAGUGGGCAGGUCCCGUGUAAGUUGUUUCCUGUGGCUCCUGGGCCGUCCCAGCUGCACGCUCCGUGCACGGACUCCACUGGUCACAGGAAGCGGGGAGCGGUGUGAUGUGCCUGAGCGGCCUAAUCCGAACUCGUCUCCCGCCCGCAAACCCGGCUCCUCCCGGCUUGGCCGUGGGGUACCGGCUGCCCUUAUGCGCUUUAGGCUUGUUGGGGGACGUGCUGAUCAUCUGUGUGAUUUGCUGAGAUCACGAACCCGAGCGUUUGGUCGCUGGGGAGCCUGCAGCCUGCGGCCUUGUUGGUGGGAGGACUCCUGGCUCCCCGUGCACCCUGCCCCCUUGCAGCGGUCUAGCCAGGGAAUUUGCAAUGCCUGAAGGGACAGGCAAGUGAGCAAGUAAUUACAACAGCAUAAAGGCUGCGUCUGUAGCAGAUAAAAGGGUAUGGGGGGGGGAAGGGGGCAAUCGGUGGGAGAAACACAGGACUCCCUGAGGUGGCGACUAAGGCUCUAAGGAAAUGAUACCUGGGCUGAAACCGGGGGGUGAAGAGUGAUUCCAAUUGUUCAACAUCCCAGGUCAACUCAGGAUUUAAAGUGACUCUUAAAUUAAGACUUACAAGAGUAUAGCAGGGUUAUUUAUUACAGACAAAAAUCCAAAAGCGAUUCAGGGACCCAUCAACAGGAAAAUGGAUAAACGAACAAAAAGGCACAUUUCUGCAAUGAAAUACUACACAAUUGAGAAAAAAUUAUAUGCAACAUUGAUGAAUAUCUAAAACAUGUGUCCUACAUAAGGGAUGGUUCUUUUUCUGGCUUCAUUAAGUAUGACUUCAUUAAGAUAAAAAAAUCUUCUCUCCAAAGACACUAUCAAGAGAAAGAAAAGACAGGCAGAGACUGGGAAGAAAUAAUUGCAAAACGCGUAUCUGAUGAAGAACUUGUAUCCAAAAUGUUCGAAGAACUCAAAACUCAUUAAAAUAUAGGCAAAGAGUCCCACAAAUGCCUCACCAGGGAAGAUACGCAGAUGGCAAAUAGCAUAUGAAAAGGUGCUCAAUAUCCCAUGUCACCAGGGAACUGCAAAGUAAAACCAUGAGAUACCACUGCUCGCUGUCAGUGGCUGAAGUUCAACACUGCAGCUCCCAGGGCUGAGGGAGAGGGGGCCGCAGGGACUUCCAUUUCAGAGGGUGCGGCCACUUGGGAAGACAGCCGGGCGGUUUCUUAAAAGCUGAACAUCCUGCACCGCGAUCCGGCGGCCACGAUCCUUGGUAGUCACCCCAGCGAGUUGAAAACAUGUCCACACACAAACCUGCACACGGAUGUUUAGAGGAGCUUUAGUCACAGUUGCCAAGAUGUGGAGGCAACAAAGGUUUCCAUAAGAAUCUAAGAAACACACAAGAUGGCGCUAUAACUCCAAGAAAGCACAGGAAUGUAUGUAUGUGAGACACACCUCUUUCUCUCCCUCUCUCUCUCUCUCUCUCUCUCUCUCUCUCUCACACACACACACACACACACACACACACUCAUCCCAGGUUCACCUGACAGCCCUCAGCCUUUCAAGACAAUUUAUUCUUCUCACUACCUUCUUGUUGUUUUUUGUUGUUAAUAAAAGUCAAAAUGGUAACUAGUU